rnacentral:rRNA from 1 species
GUGCCAGCAGCCGCGGUAAGACGAGCUCCCCGAACGUUAUUCGGUAUCACUGGGCUUAAAGAGUUCGUAGGCGGUCUGGUAGGUGAGGUGUGAAAUCCCCCGGCUCAACCGGGGAACUGCGCUUCAAACCACCAGACUUGAGGGAGACAGAGGUGGGCGGAACAGAUGGUGGAGCGGUGAAAUGCGUUGAUAUCAUCUGGAACACCGGUGGCGAAAGCGGCCCACUGGGUCUUUUCUGACGCUGAGGAACGAAAGCUAGGGUAGCGAACGGGAUUAGAUACCCUAGUAGUCC